AUCUGAAUUAGAAAUAUCGACAGACUAAAAUUUUAACCCACAGUGAUAGCUGUGACCUGGAGUGGCGUUCCUUUAUCUCUUUGUUCUCCAACAAACAUGUCAAGCUCCUAUCAUUUGUGAGGCAAGGUACCAAGUGAAGAGAGAAACACAAAGAACGUGAUCCUUUUGCAUGGAGAACCUGAAGUCAAAUCACUUCAGUGGAAUCCUGAUGUGUCUUCGUCAAAUUCUGAGACCAGUGCUGCUGACUCUACCUGUUGAAGGGUGAGGCAAGUUUCUGGGUCCACUGCCAGAGAAGGCAUGCAAGCAAGCACACACAGUCUCAGUUUGUGAGAUGCAUCCUCUAUUCAGGUCAGCGGAGGGUAAUUGACCAAGUCAACUUCACCACCGUCGGCGCUUGUCAUUACCAGCUAGCCCGUGUCCUCUGCAUGGAAUCUGAAGCACAAUUCAGUUAUUGGAGUCCCUUUUCAAGGGAACAAAUGUUUUUUUGCUGCUGAACAUUAACUCAUGUUACAAAUGUGAUCGGAACAACGAAGUAGUCCAUCUCAGAGAGCAGGGAGACUGGUUCUAUCGAU
rnacentral:lncRNA from 1 species